GUACCGUCCAAACGUUAUUCGGAAUUACUGGGCUUAAAGGGUACGUAGGCGGCGCUGUGUCUCCGGNGGUGAAAUCCCUCGGCUCAACCGAGGAACUGCGCCCGAUACUGCAGUGCUUGAGGGAGACAGAGGUAAGCGGAACUGAUGGUGGAGCGGUGAAAUGCGUUGAUAUCAUCAGGAACACCAGUGGCGAAAGCGGCUUACUGGGUCUCUUCUGACGCUGAGGUACGAAAGCUAGGGGAGCGAAGGGGAUUAGAUACCCCCGUAGUCCUAGCCGUAAACGUUGAGCACUUGAUCGAGGAUCCCCCCAUAGGUUCUCGGUCGUAGCGAAAGUGUUAAGUGCUCCGCCUGGGGAGUAUGGUCGCAAGGCUG
rnacentral:rRNA from 1 species